GGAGCACCAGGAAAAAGGCAUUUUACCUGGGACAGGUGUGAAAUUUCAGAUCCCCAAGCUAUGGUCAGCCUAUGUGGAACAUUCAUUAUCCUCAUGUUUUCCUUGGAAGAACGUUUUACUUACGUGGGUUUUUCUUCAAGCACUGACCAGGUCCAUGUCCACAACCACUUCAACAAUCCUAUAACAUCAAGUGCUUCUGGAUCAUCCACUGAAAACAGGAUAAAUAAAAGUCGGCCAAAUCACCAUAACCCACAUACACCAAAAUAAGUGUCUAUAGCAUUGUAGUUAGUUUCAUUUUCAUCAGACUCCUGUGAAGGCUACAACUUUACACACACUAAAGUUUAGAAUAUAUCAUGAGGAACUAAGUGAGAUUUCUUUCUGAAUAAAUGUUUCUCUGAUCAAAGUUCCAAGAUUGUAAAAUGGCAGAUUCCUAUAAAAGUCAAUGACAAAAUGUGCAUUAAUUUUUUUUUUCAAUUGAGCAACAGGGCUACAUGCAACUUCUGUC